CGGGACGGGUGAGUAACGCGUGGGUAACCUGCCUCAUACAGGGGGAUAACGAUUGGAAACGAUUGCUAAUACCGCAUAAGCGCACAGUACCACAUGGUGCAGUGUGAAAAACUCCGGUGGUAUGAGAUGGACCCGCGUCUGAUUAGCUAGUUGGUGAGGUAACGGCCCACCAAGGCAACGAUCAGUAGCCGACCUGAGAGGGUGACCGGCCACAUUGGGACUGAGACACGGCCCAA
rnacentral:rRNA from 1 species